rnacentral:hammerhead_ribozyme from 1 species
AUCCAAUUGACGAGUCCCAAAUAGAAUAAAAUACGUGUCCUGGAU